AUAAUAUCCUGCAAUAACUGUCUCGCAGUUAUGUUCUUGAUAUCAUUUUAACAAUAUGGACCUUCAGACAAAUUGUUCUGGAAGUGAAUUUCUGUAGGUUGGCAGCUCUGCAGUCAUAGCCAUGAAUGCAAUUGUACUGAUAAUUGUCAUAAUAAUUUAUUACGGUGUGUCGGUUUUUGGCCUUGGCUUCCUCAUUUUCAGUUUCGGACAAGAAUUUUUAUUUCCGUUAAUCACUAAUAUUUUAAUUAAUAAAUGAGUUUGCUGAAAGGGAAGUUUUCAUCUGCAGCUCAUUUGUCUUAUUUACAGUAAAAUUUAACUUGUGGAGUGGUUAAAAAAACAACAACCUUGAAGCACACUUGGCAUCUUUUUUUAAUUAUUUGCUAUCUGCCAGACUGAACAUGGCGCACUCAGGGAGGGCGGGGUAGACAUCAUGGUGAGAAUAUAGGUCACUCAUAUGGUUGGGCAAUAUGACAAAACAUUAUCACAAUUACAUUUUUCUUAAAUACUUAAAACUGCUGGUUCGAUUUUGGAAUCCAACUGCUGGGCUGACAGUGUUGGGUCAGAGGUUGGGUCAGUUUUAACCAACAUUGGAUUAAAAUUAGAUUAAAAUAUUAAAGCAUCUGUUAGGUAACAGAUGCCCCGCCCACAACAUAAAACAAAAUGCAUUGAUUUCAUAAUCCAACUUUUGGUAUCGGCUGUUGGGUUUGAUCAACGUUGGGUUACAGGUACACCAAUAGACACUCCUCCUCCUAGAAUUUGCCAUUUUUUUCCCCCACGCGGAACCCUUCUUGGACUGGGACAUGCCGGCUGCUGUUUUGAUGGUGAAGUGGAACAGUAAGUACAGGUUUAGUUGCAUUACACUGCCUUUUACAUUGUAAUAUGCAUUUUCUGUGAAGCUAGGUAUAUCAUGUUAUUAUAUUUAAACAACCACAGCGUAGACGGACGCCAACUAUGGAUAACGUAAUUAGCUUAGCAGCAAACCGGUAGCCGGGGUUUAGCCCUCCUAGAGUUCUCGCUUGCCCGCAAUUGGACUUUGAGAGAUAGAGGGGGAACAAAAACCAGAACCAGCCAGCAUCAACCAGUAGUCAGCAGUGCAUCGUACGUCGUGGUGGCCGCUAACAGACCACCUUGGUCAGCCACGUGAACACUAGAAUUGCCACCACCACCGCAGGUUACAAAUAGCGGAAGAAACAGUGUGGCAAUAUUUGUUAUUUGUGUGAAAGUAUAAUGACUAGCUGUAGCUUGCCGCAUCGUUCCCGUAAACGGCGCCCAGGGUUUUGUUCUGAUAUGACCCCCUGGAGUUCUCGCUGGCUGGCUCUGACGAGCGUAAGAGGCAAGAGAAAAAGAGGGGGCAUCGCGGAGGAGGGGUCAACCAGCCAGAGUCGGGGGCAUGAAGAAACAGUGUGGCAAUGUUUAUUAUUUGUGAAAAGUGUAAUGAAAAGCAAUAGCCUGCUUUGUAUCAAAGCAAGUGAGAAAUGGCCAUUUGUUACCCUAAAUGUUUUUGUAUUCCUUUUGAAAAGAUGGACGACUUUGUGGAGGAAAAGUUCAAUGUGUGAAAUUGGACUGAUAUAUCCCUUCUUUUGAAGUUAUUUCCUGUGUGUGCGUGUGUUUGUUGCUUUUUGUUCCUUUCUGUUUAUUUUCUCGAUUCAGGAUGCCUGGUUGUGACCCCAGGUAGGAUUCAUAAACCAGCAGCAGGGUUCAUAGCGCCUUAGCAAUGUCUUCAUGAAAAAAGCCAGGGCAGGCGAAUAAAUUCGCCACAAGAGAUCCAAGUCAUUCUGCCAGCCUGGAACAAACCUGGUGCAGUACCAAGCCAUAGCAACCACAGAGUACCACUUCAUUUUUAAUGCUUUGGGGGCACCCUUGGAGC